ensembl:lncRNA
UAAGUUUUUAAGUAGGCUAAGUUAUGUCCUAAAUAGUGUCCCUUUUUCAAAUAUAUAAGAUGUACACAAUUGUAUCAUCCUUUGGGAACAAUCAACCAGUGAAGUUCCCUGACAGUGAGCAGUCUAUGCGACAUUACAUCACUAAAAUGGGGACUCAAAGGAGGACUACUGGACGUAGAGAGGCAUUUGGGAUAGACCCCAUAUUUGCAUUGGCCAGACAUGACAUCAUAACGACUGGUUUAGCUUCUGGUUCUCAACUCCUUCCUUGAUUUUCUACAGGGCUGUAAAAUCAACAUUUAAUGUAUUCCAUUAACAGUGAGGAAAAUUAAAGCCUUAGACUGAGUAACUUUCUCUGUCUUUCUGCCUCACUCACUUGGCUCAUAUAGUGUCUGUUUACAAAAGCCCUCACAGUUUUUUACUCUGAGAAAAUAUAUUUAGUUAAGUUAAGUGCAUUUUGCUUUCAAAUCAAAGCAUAUUGAACACUUAAAAAUGUUGAUUAAACAGUUGCUCC